GUGGUCGCCUGGCUGAGACGAUCAAAACCAUGUGAUCUUCAGUCAAAACUAGAACUCUGGUAGUGGCAGCGGUAGACGAUGGAACCGCCGACAAUGGUAGAUAAUGUCGCCGCCGGCAACAAGGGUGUAGUGGCCGAGGUAUAUCUAUCUUAAGCGUGAGACUAGACAUUAAUGGGUGGUCCGAUAGCGGCCUGAUAGUAGGUGGAACAAUAUGCCCAACAAACAACAAAUAUAUGAUAGGCUCUAACCUGCCUCUAAUACCAUGUUAAGAAGUGGACUUUAAGCUUAACUCAACCC
rnacentral:lncRNA from 1 species